UCCCGCUGCUUUGGGUGUCUUCUGGAGCCUUCCUGAUCCCUCUGGUGACGCCCUUUCAUCGUGGAUAAGUUUCAUGGUAGAUUCGCACUUAAAUCCCUCUUUUAGGCUUUUUCUGGAUAUUUCCCUGAAGAAUACACAAAUCACCAAAACUCGUGGAAAUUGUCAGUUAUAACCCUAUUCUAGUAGAUAUUCAUAUAUGGUGGAGAGAUAAUUGCUAAUAAAUAUUGUGGGUUAACAUGCGUCAACAACCUAUUACAACCAAACAUGGGUGUAGCUCAUAGCUAGAUGUGACAAUCAUGGGCUCUAGUGGCUCUAAGCUUGCGUUGAUGGGUGCAAGACAUUGAUAGAUAGGCGUGGAAUUUGGGUUAUUCAUAAGGAUAGAAAAGAAAAGAAAAAAUAAAAUAUGAGAUAAGAGAAAAAGAUAAAAGUAUAAUACAAGGUUAAGCAUGACUUAAAGUUAUCUUAGCAAACCGUUUUUCUCCCUGGCAAUGGUGUCAAAAAUGCUUGUUGAUACUAGAUACACACAUAGAAAAAUAAUCCUCAAGCGCACGGAUAUCGAUGAGCACUUCAUCUGAGAGAUAUUCUAGAGUAUUAUUAUUUAUUUAUCCGCUAGGAGAAAACGUGCAUAUGACUAACCUAAGUCUAUACUUAACCCCUGGGCUACAAGACAAGAUAGUGAGAAUUAAACGAUAUAGAGAGGACUCCUUCGUCAGUCUUCUUCUAACCUGUGGUAAGCUAUGUGGUUAUUGUUCUAAGGGGGUAUCUAAGGAAAAGAUACACCACAGAGAAUACUUAACCCCGGCAUAAUAAUUCAUACCUUACCUCCUGACGGGACAUGGAUUACGGAGACACAAGGAGACUGUCACUUCUCCCCAAUGUUACCACAAAUCCGGCCAGAUAUGGAGUAUCUUCGAGUAUUCCUAGCCUAAGCACCAUACUUAUGCUAGGAACGAUUACUCUAUUCCCUACGUGAAGCGAAUAAAGUAAACCCGUAAACCAAAGAACAAUAAGAACAAUAAACUUACUAGUAUUAGAAGUUGAAUUGCCGAAUGAUCCUAGAACCAAGCCUUAGGUUAGGAGACUUUGAUCCCGCAGAUACAACUAGAGAGGAGACACCAAUAAGUCGAGCUUCUAACCUUGCUCAAGGUGCGUCGUGCUCGACAAGCCGGGAUAAAUCGACUGUCUCUUGCGUUAACUAUGGAGUUCCAACAUACGCCAAAACCUAAACAACUGUCCCUGGUACCCCCACGGUAGGCUAUCCGUGGUAAAACAUCGACAAGACUUCCAACUUAAUACACGGAAAAUAAUACUAUUAGGACCUAAUUUCUUUAUAAAAUAAAGAAGUAAAUUUUCAAUAAAAAGCUAAUAAUAUACUAUAAUUUCAACUUAACAUGCAUUAAAAAAUUGAAAACAACAAGAUUAGAAGUUAAAAUCUAAACUAUAGAUUCAUGAUGCCACAUAAAAUGAUGGAACAAGAGUUUAUACAUCUCAAGCCUAAGUUUUUUAAGAAAA
rnacentral:lncRNA from 1 species